GACCCCGUAGCUCAGCGGAUAGAGCAGCAGCCUUCGAAGCUGUUGGUCGCGCGUUCAAAUCGCGCCGGGGUCG
rnacentral:tRNA from 1 species